UGUAUAGCAAUAGCUGACUGCACCAACAAAUACUUGAUGCAGUAUUGACUCUGUCAAAUAAAAUUCUAGGUAGAAUUAUGAUAAUGACAUUGUCUGCCUAUAUGUCUUGACCAAAUUACGUGCCAGCAGUCGCGGUAAUACGUAGAAGACUAGUGUUAUUCAUCUUUAAUAGGUUUAAAGGGUACCUAGACGAUAAAUCAAGCCUUCACAGGGACUAAUUUACUAGAGUUACUUACGAGGGGGUAUUAAAGUACUGCAGGUGUAGAGAUGAAAUUCUGUCAUACCUCUUUUCAAAAGAAAAACUAUGGCACAGGUAUAGGUGAAAGCAUCCCCUUAUGUGAUAACUGACGUUGAAGGACGAAGGCUUUGUGUCGCGAACAGGAUUAGAUACCCCAGUAGUCAAAGCAGAAAAUGAUGAAUGUCAUAGACUAGAUAAAUAAUUUAUUCUAUAAAUGAAAAUGUAAGCAUUCCACCUCAAGAGUAAUUUGGCAACAUUGGAACUGAAAUCAUUAGACCGUUUCUGAAACCAGUAGUGAAGUAUGUUGUUUAAUUUGAUGAUCCGCAAAAAACCUUACCACAAUUUGAAUAUUUAUAUGUAUCUUCUUUUUUCGUGAAAAAAAUAAAAAGGUAAUAUAUUUACAAGCGUUGCACGGCUGUCUUCAGUUAAUGUCGCGAGACUUUGGUUAGUUCCAUUAAAUUAACGUAAACCCUUACUUUAUUUUUAUAUGAAGUAGUUCCCCGCUAUAUUGGAUAUGAUAACAGGGACUAAGACAAGUCAUCAUGGCC
rnacentral:rRNA from 1 species